rnacentral:rRNA from 1 species
UACAGAGACUGCAAGCGUUAUUCGGAUUCACUGGGCGUAAAGGGUGCGCAGGCGGCCAAGUGUGUGAAGCGUGAAAGCCCGGGGCUUAACUCCGGAAUUGCACCUCAAACUACAUGGCUAGAGCAUUGGAGAGGGUAGCAGAAUUCACGGUGUAGCAGUGAAAUGCGUAGAUAUCGUGAGGAAUACCAGAGGCGAAGGCGGCUACCUGGACAAUUGCUGACGCUCAGGCACGAAAGCGUGGGGAGCAAAAGGG